CCGAGGAUAAAAACACAAACGCAUAUUAUUAUGCAGAGCCGGUAGGUAGUCCGUGCCGUAUUGCUUUGGCAGUAUAAGUAACCCUCCCUCCUUGGGUCGUCCGUUCCUCGCAGUUU
rnacentral:ncRNA from 1 species